rnacentral:rRNA from 1 species
GGUUGAUCCUGCCAGUAGUCAUAUGCUUGUCUCAAAGAUUAAGCCAUGCAUGUCUAAGUAUAAGCAUUCUUAUACUGCGAAACUGCGAACGGCUCAUUAAAACAGUUACGAUUACUUUGAUGGUACUUCACUACAUGGAUAACUGUAGUAAUUCUAGAGCUAAUACAUGCGUAAAGUCCCGACCUCUGGAAGGGAUGUAUUUAUUAGAUACAAAACCAACCGGGGCAACCCGUUCUUUGGUGAUUCAUAGUAACUAAUCGAAUCGCACGGCUUCAGGCUGGCGAUAGUUCAUU